rnacentral:rRNA from 1 species
UACAGAGGGGGCAAGCGUUGUUCGGAAUUACUGGGCGUAAAGGGCGCGUAGGCGGCCGCCUAAGUCAGACGUGAAAUCCCUCGGCUCAACUGGGGAACUGCGUCUGAUACUGGGUGGCUUGAAUUCGGGAGAGGGAUGCGGAAUUCCAGGUGUAGCGGUGAAAUGCGUAGAUAUCUGGAGGAACACCGGUGGCGAAGGCGGCAUCCUGGACCGGCAUUGACGCUGAGGCGCGAAAGCCAGGGGAGCAAACGGG